AUACAUACAUGUACACACACGUCACCCACACACACAUAUAUAUAUUAUAUGUUAUGGAUAUGUGUGUGUAUGUGUGUGUAU
rnacentral:miRNA from 1 species